GAUAUAACUAUAAGAAACUUCUAAUUUCUAAAUAAAGCGAAUUUACGUUUUUAUAUCU
rnacentral:tRNA from 1 species